CCCACCCGAGCCCGACAUCGUGCCACACUGUCCCCAUGGUGUCCGAAAGCUCCAGGAAGACAGGGUCACUCUGACCCCCUCACACCCACAACCCAAAGAGGAGCAUGUGUUCAGGAAAAGUCUCCUGCUAGUGCUGAAGACAAGAGUAAUUCCUCGUGGUGCCCAGAAUGUCAGAAGAAAACAAGGCACCAUGUGGACGCCUUCCAGGUGAAUUUUGGAAUGAUUCUACCGAAAGCCAGUCAUCCUUUUUCAGAACAAAAUCCAUACAACAUGUGUCGCCAGCAGAGAGAUGGUCCCUUUCACGGCUUACAAACACACCUACGUUACACUGAAUUUAUCUCAAGCCACCCUCUCUGCGCUAAUGUAAAACGUCUCCCUUAUUAACCAGUAGCCUUUCUCAUCUGGUGUUUUUUAACAAGCAAGAGGGCCCUGUAACACUCAGGCAUUGUCUGAAACAUCAAAUGGAAGCCUAAAAUCCUCUUCCAUGCAGCUUCACUGCAAAGUAUUUUGACGUGAGCCAAAUCGUGCUCUUCCUACACCUCCACAGGAAACUCAAUGCUUCAUCAAGGAGAUGCAGCAUGAUUUCUGCUAGGCACAGAAACUGGAGGGGUGGGGAUAGGGUUGAGGGAACAUUACAUAGAAAGCACACCCCAAUAAUCACCUGCAUGAGAGCCACACUGGCCGGCAGCCCCAGUCGGCUCAGUCUAUGCACAGUCACAGGUGUGAGGCCUGGAGGGCAGACACCUGGCACUGCUGACCACACCAAGGUCAUGGCCUCUGCCCCUUCUCUGCUGACCAUCAGUUCUAAGCUUCUGGCAACACCGCCUGCUGCCCUGCCUGACCGACUCCUUCACGAAAAGCAAAUGUUGCCAGGAUAGCUUAUGAGUACAUUUGGCAGGAAAGCAGCUCUGAUUGAUGCUGAAACCCCCUUCUCACAGCCCUGGCAGCUCCCCUACCCCCGAUGUGUACAAGCUUGCAGCUCUGACCUCGCUCAGUGUCCACACAGGCUCUGUUCCCUGGACAGCCCAAUGCAGACUCAACGUUGAGUCAGAAAUACACAAAGAGGCUGACGGUUAUGAACCACCUGCCUGUCCCCCGAAACACAGGUUGAAAUGCUCACCCUCAAUGCGAUGCUGUCAGGAGGUCUCUGGGAGGUGAUGAGUUCCUGAGGCUGGAGCCCCGUGAAUGGAGUUUGUGCCUCAGACAAGGAGCCCAGUAAAUCCAUCACCCUCCCACUGUGUCAGGGCCAGAGAGAAGGUGUGUGUGAACCAGGAAGGGGCCCACACCGGAACCCACCCGUACGGCACCCUGAUCCCACCUUCCAGCCUCUAGAACUACAAGAAACAAAUUUCUGUUGUUCAUAAGCCAUUCAGUCAAUGGUGUUUCGUUACAGCAGCCUGAGCUGCCUGAGAUGACAAUGCUCACCGUCCUACAGAGACGGCUACUCCCCUCUCCCAGAAAGAGGGGUUUAAUUAAAAUCCCUGUCUCUCCUCGCCACCACCACAGAUCUCAUUCCCCCACCCUGUAAGCCAACAGAUGCUACGAUUAAAGGAAAAGGAGGAUCGUUUUAGACCAGCCCCUCCUUGUCAGUCUGAAGCCUUUGACUUUGCCCACUUCCACGGUGGCCGUGUCACCAGAUUCCCCAUGCCAGCUCUGCAUCUGUACCGGGUCCCAGGCUCUGCACAGACUUCUCCAGUUGCCCAUCCAGCACACCUAUUUCCCUUUCUCCUUUGCAGAUUGUCCUUCGAUCCGCAAUCUUCUGGUUGCCUCUCUACAGCCCAAGGCCUUCCAAUCCAGCCAAUUCAGGGUGAGCUCAGCCGUGCACUGGAGUCCUUGGCUCAGGUAACCCAGACCCAAGCCAUUGGCACCAACGAUCUACUGGCUGUGGGGUCUGCACAGCCACCAGCUGCCCCAGCCACACCAGGGCCUGGGAGGGGAGGCAGAGGAAGCUGUGAAGCUGCCAACAGCCGUGUGGGGACAGGAGCCUCUGGGAUGAGGAUGCCAUGGAAGGAAAUUCAGAGAAAGAGCCCCAGGGCUGGACGGGUCAUGUCCAAAGUCUGCACUGCUGAGUUUUUGAGGUUUCUGAACUCAAUCGCUGACCCCGCGUGGCGUUGGAUACCGCAAUAAAGCAAGACCCUCCCCCCCACCCCACAUACACGGGGCCUCUGCCCUGGUGGGAAGUCAGGCCUGGGCGCUCAGCUGGCACAGCGAGCCUGGAAGGGGGCCGAUUCAGACGGCACGCCUGAGCUCAAUAGGGGCAGACACUGUCUCCUGCUUAGCUCCAACACUUUCUCUGCAUGUCUAGUUACAAACAGACGACACAGUCUCGGAAGCACAGAUCCCAGGCCUCCCCCUGCUCCUCUCCUUGGUGCCAUUGACAGGGAGGGGCCCGUAUGGCCGCGAGGCCGCACACCCACAGCCACCCUGCCACUGAGACAAGGGCCUUUGACGGUUACUUCUGCCAAAGAACCCUGCUCCAUCUUGGAGCACACCAUGGCGGGAGGGAAGCUCCACCCGGAGAAACAGCGAUGCUUCUCCCCAGGGCCAAUGGAGGGCACCCCCCACCCUGCAUUCAGCAGCUUACUUACCUUCUGGAAAACAUCUGAAUUAAUGGGGAACACUAAAAUGAAAAGGUCACGCAAGAAAGUUUAGCAGGCCCUGUGAAGUCUCAGGAAGUCCAAAGGUUUCUGAACCAAGAUUGCUGGGGUCGACGAGCUUACAGGCAAAGUUUCCACACGGGCCUUCAACAAGCAACGCUCAGCAGAGAGCGCCACGCUCUGGGCAGAACCUCAGACACCACAAAGUCACAUCAGAGCCAACAGCAACUGAAAUACAGCGCUCUCCUAAGAUGUGUGCAUUACCUGCAGGAAGUCAUAGACACUAAGAUGGGGAAGAAAGGAUAAGAUUAAAAACAAAUUUAAAGUAAUUUCUGCAUACAAAAAAAAUUCUAUAUCCACUGGCUUCCUUUCUGGGAGUAGUAACUUUUACAUGAGAUGCACAUCCCAGUUGGAAGGAGUCUGGGUUUUCCAUGGGCAGAGACAAGGGCUCUCCAGGAAAUGUGAACCCUUUCUCACUCACUGAGCCACGUUCCCUGAGGCCAUCCUGACCUGCCUGAGCACCUCCCUGCUCUGCCUCCAGCCAGCUCCUUCCAGCACUCACCCCGCUGCUCCCAGAGCCUACACUCGCCCAGGAUCUACUCUUCUGCUGCUGUCAAUCUUCUCCUGCCAAACUUUCACUUUAGGCACAGGCAGAGCCUCCAUCAUUCUCCUGCCCCCAUCGGAGCAGCACACUUCUGUACGACUGACAGACCCGCAUCAACGCGGCACCACCACCCAGAGUCCACAGCUCACACGAGGGCUCGGCCUGCUGCUGCUCACUCUGUGGGUUUCACAGACAUGGAACGGCAUGGAUCCCCCAUGAAAGCCCCAUCCGGAGUUGCUUCCCCAACCUACACAUCCUCCUAUGCUCCUCCCAUUCAUCCCUCCCUUCCCCAACCCCUGGCAGCCGCUGACCAUUUUACUGUCUCCACAGCUUUGCCUUUUCCAGGUUGUCCUGCAGUUGGACUCACACAGCAGGCAGCCUUUCCAGAUUGGAGACUCACUUACCAACAUGCGUUUAAGAUCCGUGUCUUUUCAUGGCUUAGUGGUCCAGUUCUUUUUAGUGCUGAAUAAUAUCCCAGUUUCUGACGUAACACAGUUUAUCCGUUCACCUACUGAAGCACAUCUUGGUUGCUUUCUAGUUUUGGCAAUCAUAAAUAAAGCUAUAAAGCUGCUGUGAA